rnacentral:lncRNA from 1 species
UGCUUUUGAUUUUUUCUUGAUUUGGUUUUGCACCCUCCUCCUUCUUUUUUCCUUUUUUUUUUGAUAAUGCCCCAGUUGGCUGUUCUGCUGAUUCUCGAGAUGCAGCUGAGUGUGAUCUUCUUUUCUUGCUCAAGAAGUCGGGAAAUCUCGUCAGGAAUCCCUUCAACAUCAUCUUCUUCCACUUCGAAUACAGGGAAUUCAAAAUUGGGAGAUGACGUCCGAUCAUUAUGCUCAAUGGGUUUGAGAAACAAC